UACGUAGGGGGCGAGCGUUGUCCGGAAUCAUUGGGCGUAAAGGGUGCGUAGGCGGUGAGGUAAGUUGGAUGUGAAAUCCCAGGGCUUAACCCUGGAACUGCAUUCAAUACUGCCUUGCUAGAGUACUGGAGAGGAGAUUGGAAUUCACGGUGUAGCAGUGAAAUGCGUAGAUAUCGUGAGGAAGACCAGUGGCGAAGGCGAAUCUCUGGACAGUUACUGACGCUGAGGCACGAAGGCUAGGGGAGCAAACGGG
rnacentral:rRNA from 1 species